CCUACGGGAGGCAGCAGUGAGGAAUAUUGGUCAAUGGUCGGGAGACUGAACCAGCCAAGCCGCGUGAGGGAUGAAGGUACUGAGUAUCGUAAACUUCUUUUGUCAGGGAACAAAUGCGGGGACGUGUCCCCGUAUGAGUGUACCUGAAGAAAAAGCAUCGGCUAACUCCGUGCCAGCAGCCGCGGUAAUACGGAGUGUGCUAGCGUUAUCCGGAGUUAUUGGGUUUAAAGGGUGGGCAGGCGGUCAUGCAAGUCAGCAGUGAAAGCCCGGGGCUCAACCCCCGAACCGCGGUGGAAACUGGUAGACUGGAGUUGGAGAGAGGUAUGCGGAAUGCGCGGUGUAGCGGUGAAAUGCGUAGAUAUCGGGAAGAACACCGGUGGCGAAGGCGGCCUGCUGGAUGGAAACUGACGCUGAGGCACGAAAGCGUGGGUAGCGAACAGGAUUAGAUACCCGAGUAGUC
rnacentral:rRNA from 1 species